rnacentral:lncRNA from 1 species
CGAGCCCCGCCGCCCGGGUUCAAGGCCACCUUCACGCCCACGAUUCCUUGUUUUUUGGGCAGAGGUCAAGGCUCAACGGAGAGGGAGCCCGGGACCGAGUUGUGGUGGGAGUUUGCUCCUAACACCCGCGAAAUCCUGCCUCAAUUCCUCAGAUGGCCUGAGGGAGAAACCGGAGGGCCCGGGAAUGGCGGGGAGCUCCAGUUCAGGGCCGGAACUCCGGACUUCUGCAAGGCCAGACGUGAGGCGACACUGAAUUGCUCCCGAGACACGGGAAGGGCGAAGGCAAUCGAAGCGAAGAGCUUUAACUCAUCUUCUCCAGGAUUUGGGGCACGGGAACCUGUCUCCUGACCUUCGUGCCUUACCUCGGAGUGUGCUGCCCAGACGGGCUUGUGAAUAGCUGUGUCUGUCCCCAUAGUUAACGGGAGAAGGAAACACCAGGAGAAAAGAAGGAAAAGACAGGAAACGGGAAGAGGAGCAGAGGCGAGGAAGGGGAAGGUCGUUUCCUUGGCAGGGCUCCUGUGGGAAGGACUCCAUCGCAUUGAUCACUGGGUUUUCCCGUGCCAUCCAUAGAACUUUGUGCUUAAUAAUGACUCAAUAAAUAUGAUUAGAUGGAUGGAUGUAAAAUAUGGACUUGGGAGAAAGAAAAAUUAGAAGAAUAAAAAAUAAAUGGAAU